UACGGGAGGCAGCAGUGGGGAAUAUUGCACAAUGGGCGCAAGCCUGAUGCAGCCAUGCCGCGUGUAUGAAAAAGGCCUUCGGGUUGUAAAGUACUUUCAGUCGUGAGGAAGGUGUUAAGGUUAAUAACCUUAGCAAUUGACGUUAGCGACAGAAGAAGCACCGGCUAACUCCGUGCCAGCAGCCGCGGUAAUACGGAGGGUGCGAGCGUUAAUCGGAAUUACUGGGCGUAAAGGGCACGCAGGCGGUUAAUUAAGUUGGAUGUGAAAUCCCCGGGCUUAACCUGGGAAUGGCAUUCAAGACUGGUUAGCUAGAGUCUUGUAGAGGGGGUUAGAAUUCCAUGUGUAGCGGUGAAAUGCGUAGAGAUGUGGAGGAAUACCGGUGGCGAAGGCGGCCCCUGGGACAAAGGACUGACGCUCAUGUGCGAAAGCGUGGGGAGCAAAC
rnacentral:rRNA from 1 species